CCUACGGGAGGCUGCAGUGAGGAAUAUUGGUCAAUGGACGAGAGUCUGAACCAGCCAAGUAGCGUGAAGGAUGACUGCCCUAUGGGUUGUAAACUUCUUUUAUAUGGGAAUAAAAUGUUCCCCGUGUGGGAUUUUGUAUGUACCAUAUGAAUAAGGAUCGGCUAACUCCGUGCCAGCAGCCGCGGUAAUACGGAGGAUCCGAGCGUUAUCCGGAUUUAUUGGGUUUAAAGGGAGCGUAGGUGGAUUGUUAAGUCAGUUGUGAAAGUUUGCGGCUCAACCGUAAAAUUGCAGUUGAAACUGGCAGUCUUGAGUACAGUAGAGGUGGGCGGAAUUCGUGGUGUAGCGGUGAAAUGCUUAGAUAUCACGAAGAACUCCGAUUGCGAAGGCAGUUCACUGGACUGCAACUGACACUGAGGCUCGAAAGUGUGGGUAUCAAACAGGAUUAGAUACCCGAGUAGUC
rnacentral:rRNA from 1 species